CAAGAAAUAACAAUACAGGGCUAAUGUCUUGUAAUUGGAAUGAUGGCGACUUAAACCCUCGCCAGAGUAACAAUUGGAGGGCAAGUCUGGUGCCAGCAGCCGCGGUAAUUCCAGCUCCAAUAGCGUAUAUUAAACUUGUUGCAGUUAAAAAGCUCGUAGUUGAAUUUCUGCGUUGCGUGAUUCUUGCUUUUUGCUUGACUUUCGCUUCGCUUUUUUUUUACUUUGAGAAAAUUAGAGUGUUUAUCGCAGACUUUUGUCUUGAAUACUUCAGCGCGCCUGCUGCCUUCCUUA
rnacentral:rRNA from 1 species